rnacentral:lncRNA from 1 species
UCCUCAUCCCAGAAGGCAGCACAGAGGACUAUCUGGUUGGCUGGCUCCAAAAGGCACAGGAGGUCCUUUCUUAACAAAAACUGACCCAGUGCCAGAAUAUUCUUUGUCUGUCAUUCUUUGAGAUUAUUUUAUAAAACAUCAAGUCUCCAUAUGCACCAUACGUGCGUGCAAUUUGGGCAAUGAGCAGCUGUAGGGAGAAAGGAAAGAAUGGGUUUUUGGACCUCCUACCUGCUGUGAAGUCACAGCACCUGACACCACCCUUAACUACACUGUGGAAGGGAGCCCAAGGAACUAAGAGCAAGGCUGCAGAGGAAAGGGGUUAGGAAUUCAGCCUGCAGAGGGAAAAUGCUGAAGAAUGGGCAGUUUGUUGUUUAGUGAAAGACCAGUCUAAUGUGGAUCGUCAGUUAAUCUACAGCGUCUGUGGAAAGACCCAUGCUUACUGAAUCGUGGUGACACGAUUCACCAAUAAGGUGUAGCUGGCAUCAACCUACAAUUACCUGGAAAAUCGAAACAGACAAAUUAAAAACCCGCAAAAUCACUGGUGCCCAAGCUUCUACUUCACUGUUUUAAAAUCAAAAGAUAUUCUUUUAUGAAGUCCCUCGGUAAAAUGAGAAUAUCAGAAAAGUGCUUACCACUUAAAAUGUCCUUUGACUGCAAAAUAUUAAGAGUCAUACAACUUGACUUUUGAAAUUACUAUAACACUGACUCCAGAAGAGUGUUGAAGUAAAAAGGAACAACAACAACAACAACAAAUCAAGACAGCUAGAAAAGCAUGGCUGGACAUCUCUAGUGCAGAGGAGGCAUGUUGACACAAGUACUGUUCCUCCACAGAACUCAAGAACAACUCUAAGGAUGACAAGGAACAAUGUGAAGUUCCUGCACAGUGCCACUUGGCAACAUUUAAAAAAAAAUUUAUUCCCAGAGGACAUGAGAUGCUGGGUCAAUGAAGACUGAAAGUGACACAGGGAACCACUAGGACAUCCCUUGGGACAGAGUGAAGCUGGAGCUCCUAUUUCCCAUUCAAGGCAGAGGCUCAUCCAGAUCUGGGAAUUUUGAACAAUGUUAGAACUUCCAGCAUUUUAAGGAAUUUCAGAGAUGGACUAAGUGAAUUUUGUACUAUGAGAUAAAAUUCAUGCUUUAUGGACAAGGGAUGGAAAGGUAUGAUUUAAAGUAUUUUAUCUGACAAGGGGUGGAGUUGUGACGGAGUCUAUCUUUAUGAUAAAAACCAU